rnacentral:misc_RNA from 1 species
AAAGUCGUAACAAGGUUUCCGUAGGUGAACCUGCGGAAGGAUCAUUACAAAUCGCGAGCGUGCCAAAAGCCGCUCUAUAUGUUCGGGGCAGCAAUGCUUCGUGACAUUUACGCUUGUAUGUUUGACAGAGUUAGAUGUGACUUAAUAAAGACAACUUUUAACAAUGGAUCUCUUGGCUCUU